GUACCGGAAGAAAUCCAACUGGUGGACAUCUCGUACCUUUCAAUGCCAAGUAUAUCUGCAAUACAUGUUCUGUGCCGUGCACACUUAGAACCUCUCUAUCUCAAGAUAACAUGCCCGGCUCUUGAUAAUGAACCAGGUUUUAAGAAAAACUUCGAUAUUUCAAAAGUCAACGGCAAAUGUAAAUCGACAGACAAUAUUUCGCGCAGUUACGGUUGCUUUAACAUCAUUCGUAAGAUUCCUUGGAAACAAAUUGAACAUUUUACCAAUUUUACUUGUUUUUGCCGGAUGAAUCGACAGGACGUGGGGAAGAAUGCCAAACACAAAGCUUCAGUAAAAAUUAUAAAUCAAGGUACGUAAAGAAAAUGUAUCCUUUUCCCCCUUGAUGUAUAACAUAUUUUUUCCCCCUUGAUGUAUGCCAUGCAUGCGAUGCAAGACUAGAAACUGUUUGAAGCUCACUAAAAUCCUGGGCAUAAAAUUUGAAAUACUACCAAUUAUUAAAUGGCAAGCAUUCGUUUGAAUGAAUCACGCAAUUUGAUUGGCUGCUGACGAGGCAGUAUUUUCCCGUAUUGCCCACGGGCAUGCAAUACGCAAUUUUUAUUGCCCUACGAAGCUGCAACGAGAGCCGAGUUUCAAACGGCAAAACGUGCUUAUUAAAAAUCUUUCAAAUUAUUCAAAACGAAGAAAAAUAAACCUAAAAUAAAUAAGCAACUGCUGUGGUUAAAGAACUUUCUCAAUGCGUUUUUGUUAGCGAAAGUCGAAAUUAGACGAUGCUGUUUAUUAAUUUCAUUGUUUUCAUACUUGUUGACUUUGAUUAAAUGACGAAAUACCUCGUAUUUUUCUCGAAAUACUAUCCAAACUGUGUUAGUAUUCUAUAAAAAGUGCUGUAGAGUAGUUUCACUAUUAACCAAGAGAAAAUGUUUCACAACUGUUCAGUUUUUUGCAAAUGUGACCGACUUUGCACUUUGCCCUCGCGUGACCUUUUUCCUCAUUUUUUUACAAACGUAAAAUGCCAUAGAAUAAAAAACUUACUGACUUCAACCGCUCCGGCAGUACAGAAAAAUAUCCAACCUCAAUCUUGCUGUAUUGAGCUCGCUAUCGCUCGGUCAAUACAGCAAGUCCUUGGUUGGAUAUUUUCCCGUACUGUCCUCACUCUCAGUCAGUAAGUUAUUAUUAUUGGAACAACUUUCGUGAUAAUACUAAACGCUUCUCCCAUACCUUCACCAUUCAAUGUUAAUUAUACUCUUUAAACACAGUUAAAGACUUUGUAGUACGCCCAACACUGUUGGGAAGCAGAACGGAGGAUUGGGGGGGGGGGGCGGUGAAGGUGGCAGUGAAAAUUAUUGUAGUUCAAUAGUGCAAUAAGUCAGAAAGAAAAGUUUUUAUAGAGUGUCGUUGAUGCUUUUGACUUCAGAAUUUGUUGCGAAACUGAUCCUAAUCUUAAAAACACAAUAAUAUAUUGCUGCUUUUGCUCAGCACAAAAAUUCAUAUCUUCAGAACUAUUCAAUCUUCUCAGUCUUUAAAAACUACUUGAGGUACGGUACUACCAUUUUUAAUGUUGCAUUUUUUUACCUUUUUAUUUUAUUAGAGUGCAAAACAAAUACAGAGACUGUUUAUCGGAGAAAAAUCAAUGAAGAGAAAAACAUUCAUAUUUCGUGUUGCAUGACUGGUCAUCCUUCCCCUCGAAUUACAUGGUACAAAGACAAAUUUGAAUUGCAUAUGCUAAAUGGAAGCACAGUCAUCAACAACGUAAGAUACCAAAAAAAAGGUAGUCGCUUGGUUAUAAGUAGGACCGACGUACGUGGUUCUGGAAAUUAUCAUUGUUUGGCCAGGAAUAUUGUUGGAUACGAAAGAAGUGGAAGUUACCAAUUGAUAUUUUAUG